rnacentral:rRNA from 1 species
UACGUAGGGUGCAAGCGUUGUCCGGAAUUAUUGGGCGUAAAGAGCUUGUAGGCGGUUUGUCGCGUUUGCUGUGAAAUUUCGGGGCUCAACCCCGAACUUGCAGUGGGUACGGGCAGACUAGAGUGUGGUAGGGGAGACUGGAAUUCCUGGUGUAGCGGUGAAAUGCGCAGAUAUCAGGAGGAACACCGAUGGCGAAGGCAGGCCUCUGGGCCAUAACUGACGCUGAGAAGCGAAAGCAUGGGGAGCGAACAGG